rnacentral:lncRNA from 1 species
AUGAAGUCUACCACUCCUAAUCAUCGGAAAUGCUGUGGUUUGGUCCUAUUUCCUCUGGGAUUGCUUCUGAGGAUGCUGUCUUCAUGCCAGCUGCAGGCAGUUGAAUCGCAGGCCUUCACAGGACCACUGGACUUCUGGCAGCAAACAGGAAAUCGCUCCUUUCCCUCUGACUUCACUGAGCUGGAAGACUACGAGAGUGUUCUUUGUCCCACGAUUGGCGAAUGUUCUUUCGUUAGGGGUUCAGACACCAAUGCCAUUUCUUCAGAGCAUUGUCUACACCUGCAUAGGGUUUGUAAAGAUGAAAAAAAUGCAUGA